GGACGUGGCGGAAUUUGGUAGACGCCGGCUGCUCAAAACAGUCUUUCUUGCAGGUUCGAAUCCUGCUCGGGCCACCA
rnacentral:tRNA from 1 species